GGAUUCGCGGCCUAUCAGCUUGUUGGUGAGGUAACGGCUCACCAAGGCAACGACGGGUAGCUGGUCUGAGAGGAUGUCCAGCCACACUGGGACUGAGACACGGCCCAGACUCCUACGGGAGGCAGCAGUUAGGAAUCUUGCGCAAUGGACGAAAGUCUGACGCAGCGACGCCGCGUGCGGGAUGAAGGCCUUCGGGUUGUAAACCGCUUUCAGCAGGGACGAAAUUGACGGUACCUGCAGAAGAAGCCCCGGCCAACUACGUGCCAGCAGCCGCGGUAAUACGUAGGGGGCAAGCGUUGUCCGGAUUUAUUGGGCGUAAAGAGCUCGUAGGUGGUUUGGUUAGUCGGAUGUGAAAUCUCCAGGCUCAACCUGGAGGGGUCAUUCGAUACUGCCAUGACUAGAGGUCGGUAGAGGAGUGUGGAAUUCCUGGUGGAGCGGUGAAAUGCGCAGAUAUCAGGAGGAACACCCGUAGCGAAGGCGGCACUCUGGGCCGAUUCUGACACUGAGGAGCGAAAGCGUGGGGAGCGAACAGGAUUAGAUACCCUGGUAGUCCACGCCGUAAACGUUGGGCACUAGGUGUGGGGUUCUAUCGACGGAUUCCGUGCCGUAGCUAACGCAUUAAGUGCCCCGCCUGGGGAGUACGGAAU
rnacentral:rRNA from 1 species